UGGACACGCCCUAAACGCACCUGCGCCAAGCGCUCCACGCCGUGCGCUUAGAUCGUUAAAAUAGGGCCGUAAAACUUUCUGAAUUGACGAAUUAAUGAAUAAAAUUAGGAUAAUUCGGAUACAACAGAAAGUACAAUUAUGUAAAGCAAGUACAAGUAGAAGUUUGCAACUUUAAAACCAGAUUUGUCAAUCGUCAAAUAUACAAAUAUACAUACAAGUGACGUACCUUACUUCUCGUAGCGAUAUGUACGAAUGGUUCAUGAGAACAGCCUCAUUUGUCAACAGAAGUCCUCCUGUGGACACAGAAGUUGUGUUUGUUGUCAGGGAUGCACGAUCGGUAGCUGUGAACGUAGCGUAGUGUUUAUACAGUUAAUCUGUCUGUGAAUAAAUGCUACAACUUCUUAAAACCCAAGUUCCCGCGUCUUGUUUACCCCCUGCUGGUUUAAGUGAAAGGGUUUGAAUCCGACCCAAGACCCAGACUAAUUUCCUUCGCUACAUAAAACAAAAUAUCUUCUCUCAUCACAUGUCAUCCACUCUCUCUCAUCCUCAUUCUUCAGCUGCUCUAAUUUAAAAAAAAGGAAAAAAAAACCUAAAAAAUAUAUUU